CAGGCACAGAGCCUGGAAGCAGGUCAGGAGAGCUGAGAGGAACUUUGGAAAUGCUUCACCAUGAUGCCAGGUUUCACAAACGGGGAAACUGAGGCCAAGAGGAGAGACAGGACUUGCCUAUGACUACCCGACUCCCUGGUAGAAAUGUUCCUGUCUCCCAGCUAGAAAUCUCUUCUAACCAUUUGCCCAGCACCAAGACUGUUCCAUACCUGGGAGUUCUCUGCUCCGACUCUCGUCUCUCCCACCACAUCAUGGUCUCCUCAAAGGAACCAAUAGUGAGAAAGGCCUGACCCUGAAGCGGGUGUUCUAGCAGCACCUGCCUGGCUCCAAUUCUCUCCCUUCACACUGGAGGGGAGGCAGCAGGGCAGAGUGACUAAGAGGCCGGCUGACUUCUGUUCAAAUCCUGAGCUCGCCACUGCAGUCUGGGGACUCUGUGACUCCCUUUGGCUGUCAGAGACUCAUGUGCUUCCCCUGUAAAAUGGGCCCAACAGCACCGUCCCAUCUAUCCAGAGGAGUCAAUCAGGAUCAACUAAGCGUCUGACGAGCCAGCCUCACAGAGCCCGAAGCCUUCGAAGGAAGCCAGGCUUUCGAGGAUGUGUGAGGCCUGGGGAAUUCAUUUGUUUCAAAUAACAGUCAAUGAGA